AUGCCUUACACGUAGGAGUAAGGAAAAUAACAAUCUGGGGUGAUACCCAGGUCCUCACUGCUAAUGUGAGAGGAAUUUUUGCGGAGACUCAGGUUGCUCCCAGGGUGACUGGCCUA
rfam:Pelodiscus sinensis unplaced genomic scaffold scaffold171, whole genome shotgun sequence.